UGGUUUUGGAUUUCUAUUUGAAUGAGGUAUAUUUUUGGAGAAUUUUUUUUCCUUCUUCUAUUUCUCUGUUAGUUCAAAGAGGUGAAACAAAGAUGAAGAAAAUUAGUUAAUAUGAUCUUGAGUUUUAUUUCAAAAUCAGAUUAUAAAAGAAAUUUUCUUCCACUCGAUUUAUACUUUCAAAUGGAUUGAACUGGUUUGUGCUGAGUUGUUCGAGUUCGUCGCCGUCGAGGUCCAGAAUCGCUCUUUCAGUUCGUGUUGUUGGAAUUUGUUUGGUAUUUCCCUCUUUUUUCAAGCUUCGGUUGCUGCCUCAAAGUGUAUUCGCUUCCAAAGAGAAUUAAUUGAAAGUUUUCUUUUCACAUUCAGGGUGUAGCUGUUGAGCAUGAGCAUCUCAUUUGACAAAGCUAUGUGUUCAGUGCAUGUAAUCAGGCCUAUUCCUUCAGGAAGAUUUGAAAUUAUAUGUGAUGCUAGGGUAUUUUUACCUUGAUGAAUAUUUGAGUUCUAGUUGACAUUCAAUCCAUAUUUGAAAGCAGUGUAUUUUCGCCAUAUUUAUCAGAGAUUCAUGCUAUACUUUCCCUGUAAAAGGAUGCACCACGGCCAAAUUUUAUUGAGCUGGUGUUUUGAGUUUUUUUUACAUGUCAUAUGAAUGCUCUCACCUAAAUAAUUAAUUGAAAAGUGAAUUUGAGAA